GUCUAUUAAGUGUGCAAUAGCAUUAUGUCUAAAAAAUAACGUGCAUACCUUAAUUAAAAAAUACUUAUUGCUGGAAAAUGCUAGCAACCAUCUGAGCCUUCAGCGAGUUGUCAUCUUUUCGCUGAUGGAGUGUCUUGUAAAAUCACAACAUCUGUGAAGUGCAAUAACGCAAAACCAAAUAAAAUGAGGUGUGCCUGUACUGAGGUUCACGGAGUCUCACGACUUACCCAAGUGAUACAGUUAGGAAGUGGCAGAAAGGGAUUGGAAACCAGUUCCAUCUUACCGCAUAACCUCAGUCCUUGCACUGUACUCAUUGCUUCCUGCCGUGGCUGUCUUCUCCGUCCUCACCUCCAGCACUCAGUGGGGUGCACAUCGGUAUUUGCUCAGCUGAUUAUUGCCACGACUAUCGUUUUGUUCAGCAGGUGCCAGGUUUAGGGCAUUGUCUGCCUUCUAAAAGUGGUACAAACAAGAAAAUAGGAGGCACCAAGAUAAGACAGUCUGCUUCCUGGAAGUAGCAAUCUCCACGAGACAGAUGAAAUAGAAUUGAGAUGAGCUCUUGAAUAAUGGAUCCAAAUGAAUUCCCUGCAAUGAAUAUCUGAGGACAGAGUGAACUACUUACUAAGGGGAAAAAAAGAGAAAAUCCACCUCUUGGAAUUUCACAGUCUCAGAUUCCUGCCCGUAGGUGUAUAAUAGCUUUUUUUCCUGAAGAGUCUUGAAGGGAAGGCCCCACAAACCAAAACUGUGCAAUCUGCAUUGUGGCCCUGAUUCACCAUCAGCUUGCUGUGUGAUGUUGGGGAAAGUCACCCUGGAGUCCAUUUUCCUCAUGAAGCUAGGGACAAAGCAUCUCUUGGGUCCUUCCUUGAAAGACCCAAGUCUACUUCGAGACACCUGGAACAGAAUGAGAGGGUGAAGAACAGGGCACUUAUGAAGUCAAUCAAGCGAUGGCAAAGACCAAGAGUUUGGAUUUGAUUAAAAAGAGGUGGCAAGAGAACAGAGUGCAAAAGAAGGCAAGAAGGAAUAAGAACUUUUAUAUUUAUGCUUGCUUGUGCAAAUUAUACAAACCAUCAUGGAAGUGAGUUACCUUAAUAUUAAGCAGUUGCUAGCACUAAAUGCUUUUCUCUGCGGCUGUCCACAUUUUGAUGUCCCAGAACGUCAUAAUUCAAUAUUAACUGAAUAAUGCAUGUGUGAAAUUUCACAAAAAUAAGCAAAUAACCUUGUAUCUUUUUUCUUUUUUUAAGCUAUUUUUGGGUGGUGGAUGGAGAUGACAUUGGCCAAUGACUUCCCAUUUUUUUGACUUUGAAAUGAAAACUAGGGAAAG
rnacentral:lncRNA from 1 species